UAAGCGGAGGAAAAGAAACUAACAAGGAUUCCCCUAGUAGCGGCGAGCGAAGCGGGAAGAGCUCAAAUUUAUAAUCUGGCACCUUCGGUGUCCGAGUUGUAAUCUCUAGAAGUGUUUUCCGCGUUGGACCGCACACAAGUCUGUUGGAAUACAGCGGCAUAGUGGUGAAACCCCCGUAUAUGGUGCGGACGCCCAGCGCUUUGUGAUACACUUUCAAUGAGUCGAGUUGUUUGGGAAUGCAGCUCAAAUUGGGUGGUAAAUUCCAUCUAAAGCUAAAUAUUGGCGAGAGACCGAUAGCGAACAAGUACCGUGAGGGAAAGAUGAAAAGCACUUUGGAAAGAGAGUUAACAGUACGUGAAAUUGUUGGAAGGGAAACGCUUGAAGUCAGACUUGCUUGCCGGAGCUUGCUUCGGUUUGCAGGCCAGCAUCAGUUUUCCGGGGUGGAUAAUGACGGUUUGAAGGUAGCAGUCUCGGCUGUGUUAUAGCUUUCCGUUGGAUACGCCCUGGGGGACUGAGGAACGCAGCGUGCUUUUUGCGAAAGACUCGUCUUUUUCACGCUUAGGAUGCUGGUGGAAUGGCUUUAAACGACCCGUCUUGAAACACG
rnacentral:rRNA from 1 species